AUCCUUCACGAUCUUCAAAUAUUUAAAAAAGAAAUAUUAUUAUCUACUAUUAUGGUUUAUAAGAAAACCGAAAAAGACUUCUGGCCUUUCUACGUUUUUCUGUUACUGAAUUGAAUAGCAUAUUAGGUCUAUAUAUUUUUGUUUAGGUAUAUUCUUGACUCGUCUGGAUUCUUAUUAUUAAAAUAAUGUAGUUUUUAUGAAUGUUGCUCAACAAUUUUGUUUUUAUUCAAAUUAUUCUUGAAAAGUUUAUCACUAAUGACUUGUUAAAGAACGUUAGGGAUAGGUUUCCAUGCGAUUCUGAAGAUUCACU